UCGAAAGAAACCAAUAACGGCUUUACUCGCAAUCCCCAAUGCCAAUACGUCUGAAAAAAAAAUAUGUUGUGAAGGGAAAAGAAGGAGGAGAAAAAAACUUUCAUGAGCAUAACUUAUCUUUGACUGUCACAAAAUCAAUAGGCUUUGCAGAGCGGAGGAAAUUCAAUAGCUCGGCAUUCAUAAUAAAGAUUGGUUUGGGUGAUUUGUCUGUCUCUAAUAAGGCAGGCUUUGGACCCCAGCUUCUCUUCCUUUAACACUCAAAGGGGGUGGGGAUUUCCUCAUCACAGCCAAGUCCUCUUGCUUGUCUAUUGUCAGGACUUUACAAUGGUGCUGCUUGUCUGGCCAAGCCUUGCUUCACCCAGGAGAACAGACCUCACAUUGGGGCGUGGAGUAACAGAUGCCCAGCUUUAUUCCAGCAUUCAGCCUCCCUCGGCCUGCCUGACAGCCUUUUCAUGCAUCAUGGAUUCAUCUGUUUCAAUGGAAAACCCAAAGCAAUGCUAAACAUGUGGAAAAGAUUUUGAGUGCCCAACCUGACCCAGCUCUCAUCUGGAGAAGCUGUGCCCAAGCACUCGUCCAUGUGCUCAGUCAAGUGGAGCUUUAGAGAACAGGAGAGAAUGGAGAGGAUGGCCAUGCUGAGGCUUGCCAGCUCAGUGGCUGUGCAGCACCCAGCCCAGGUCCCUGAACAUGGCAGGGAAUGAGAAGACGUCAACUGAAUUGAGUUUUUACAGGAGGAAACUGAAACCUGUGGAGUAUGAGUAAUCUAUCCAGUCCCAUCGUAAGAGCUUCGAGAGCAAGCUUCCUGCCAUGAUGAUAUGCCUUACCCCAGGCCCAAAAGCAAUAGGGCCAAUGGAACAUGGACUGAAACCUCCCAAAUUGAAGAAAGCUUCAGAACUUCAGAGCUUCAACCCACAAAUUUUAUGGCCAAAAGAGUCUAAUUCACAUGUGCUGUGAUUCCAAACUCAAGAAUCCAAUGAGAACCACUAGCUCCCGAAGAAUAGGAAUUGUGCCUUUCAUCUUCAGAGCCUGGUGCCUGGCACACAGUGGGGAGUCGCACUGUGUCAGUUCCCCCUCCCUGCCUCUCUGUGCCCAUUUGCUCUCAAGUACAGCAGCUUCUAUGACAUCCUGUGAUGAAGUGGCAUGAGAUGAUAGCAAGCCUCAGUUACAACCACCGAUGGUGUCCUCAGGAAGCAAACCUCUCCAUUUACCUAAAACUCUACCAAUAGGAGAAAAUUGGCUUGGGAAUAAUUACAAAUCAAGAGCAUUCAUCUUUCCAAACAUUCUUGUCUGCAGUUGGGCGUAUAUGUGAUUUUAAAACAGCUACUGACUUACGAAUGUCAAAAUUCUUGCUCUGUUCUUUUUUUUUUUUUUUUUGUUAAGCAUUAGGAACUACAUCUAGCACUUGGGAGCUUAUUAAUGACUUCCCCCCAUAACUGGUUUGUCCCAAGAAUGCUGAAUAAGAAGACAAAGACACAGUACCAGGGUUGAGAGAACCCAGACCAACUUAAGUGAAAUUGUCAACCCCCCAGGGAGGCAUUAAUAGUUUAUUGUGUAUGGAAGAUGCAAAGGCAAGUAAAGGAAGAAGGCUAGUAACCUUUAACAUUAAGAAAAAUAACUAUUAUUGUGACCAGUGUAGCAUGAAGCACAAACAGAGUAUUCUCCCGGCAACAAAACAUAACAUGUAGCCCACCAGAGCAAUUAAUAAAAUGAAAGCGCCGUUUCUUGCAGAUGGAUAUGUAGGAGAAUAAUGGCGCAGGGCUGCACUGAGCUGUCAUGCAUCAGAUACUACAUCUGUUAUGGAAAUCAGGGGAAGUGGGGGCCUUUUGUUCAUGCGAGAGCCCUCCCAACAGGGAUUUGGCUGGAGUAGAUUUUCUUGUUAUUAAACAUGAUUUCUAGCUACUCGAGAGCAGAUGCUUCUGCAGCAUUUGGAACUAAUAACCAACCUUCAAGUGUAUGCCACCCCUCCUUAAAGAGGCUGGUACUGUCUGAGAGACCAAUUUCAGCUCAAAGAUAAUGUGUUCGGUUCAGUUUCUACUUUGCACAUGAAUGACACUGAUACCAGAUGAGCCUUCUGGCCUGGGGUUUGUGAGAGACAGUGAAACAAUGACACUGAUCCUAAAAAUGAUCACAUUGUAAAGUUCCCUAUUUUGUCUUAGAGUAAAGGUUGAAGUUUUUCAGGUGUUCUCAUAAGGGGCAAUUCAGAGUGGGAAUCAGCAAUGUGGUGGACUUUAGUUGGAGAGCAAGGCAUGGGAAUGGAGGGAAACAGUCACACUCAUCCUGAACCAGACAGGUACCCCAGCCCAUGUCCUUCCCAGGAGGACCUCUGGGCAAUGAUGUUUUUUUCAAUAAUCCGUGAGUCUGCAAGUCACUACAGAAAAAUAGGUCUUCUUCAUAAACCACCCAAAACAAACUGCUCAAUAUCUUAUGCUUGAGUUAUUUUAUUAUGUCUAAAGACAACACACUAAUUUUACAAAAUAAUAAUAAUAAUAGCCACUAAAAAAUAAAAAUAGAAAUCAAGCAGUGUAUUUCUACUUACUUUAUAGAUGACAAAUAUGUGUUCAGAUCAAAAUCUUUGCAGUUAUAAAAGAAAUUUGAAUUAAGGUAAAGAAGUGUCAUGGGGAAAACUUUUAAUCACUAUUCAACAACUUUUAAAAAUGCAAAAGCUAGAAAGUAAAUAAAAAUUUUUACAUGUUGUUGGCUGUUCUAUUACAGAUGGUUAUAGGGCAAAUAUAGAUACAGAUACAGAUCAUGCUCUUAUUUUAUAUUUUACUUCUGAACCUUUUUGUUUUUUCAUUUUAUUUCAAGAACUGCCCCGUAGUUUGUUUUUACGUCCUUAGAAACUGGACAGUAACCAGGAAUGCAGCCUGUGCCAACUAUGAUGCAACUUGGAAUGGCAACAUAUUAGACAUUUCUAAACAUAGAAAUAAAAAUAGGUAUUCUGUUAAUGGAAUUUGCCUGAUUUUCAGAGGCUAUAACUUGAACUUGCUCCAUCAACUCUGGUUAUAGCUUGAAACACUCUUCCAAGGCUUGAGAGUUUUGACUUCCCCAUCCUAAAUCAUCUCCUGUGAUUCUAUGUGGCCUGUCCCAUAAACAGCAAUCUCAACCUGUUGAGUUCUCAGCUACUCGGUAGGCCCAUAGGAUGCUCUCCUUGAUUGAAACUGAUUCAAUUCAAUAUAUAACUAAUAAAUAACCCCAGGGCCUUGUCCAAAGCACAUUUUGAUCAAGUAUAAUGAAAAUCUGUGGUUGAUUGAUCAAGUCUACUCUUGAGAAAUUUACCUAUCUGCUCACAGGUGAGCCAUUCCCAUGUUUUUCCCAUGUUAUUACAGAAAUGUUAUUGCCUAAAAUAACAUGACAAAAGUGGUUUGCACUAGUGAGUUUACUUCAGCUUUUCAUGUGCUUUCAGAUACUCCAUAACAUUUCAUUGGAUCCUCAUUGUUAUUUGGAAAAAGUAACAGAUGAAUGUUAUUGCUUUCAUUUUCCAGAUAGGGAAACUGAGCCUAAGGAAGAUCAAGUGUUUCCCUGGCUAGCACACAGACAGAAAGUGGUGAAGUCGGAUCUGAAGCCUGGGGCCUCUACCCCAGUAAGAAAGAGUCCAUUAAAAGUUUUUUCUUAAUUGUCUUAUGCCAUAUUACUUUGAAUAUGCAAUUGAGUUUUUAUUUCUGUAAUUAUAGUUAGAAGUCUUGAUAAAAUCUCCAAGCUAAAUGAACAUAUUUCAAGCUACCACUGUCUUCCCAUGGCUGAUAAGUUUUUGCCAUGUUUUGAGCAGGUGUUAAGGGAUUCGGUAUGUGAGAAAGCUUUUAACUGAGAUGUGAACCUGGACAUUCCAGUCACUGGUGAUCCAUAAAGACGUGGUGGGUAGAUAUUUUUUCUUAUUAUUUCAUACAAACCAUGUUGUUAACCUUAAUGCCCUGGCCAGUUUCCAGAUAAAGGAUUACAAUUUGCCUUGCUAAAAAACGUUCCCUGCUGCUUUAAUUAGAUAUGGUAUUUCCCUCCCUUUCGGCACAGUCUGUAGAGUCGCUCGGUCCUGUCAACCAGCUGCUAUCACUCACUCUAGGAGGAUAAACGAUUCUUCUAAUACCAAGAGACAAAGCAAAAGCCACAAAGCUGCAUUUCCAAACAAUAUGCAAACUUAAAUGACGGAUGGUUAAUAUUUUAAAAAUUAAAUCAUAGAGUAGGAAAGGCGCUUUUAAGAUUAUCCCUUUAAGCUAGAUCAUAGAGAUCACCAAAUUAAUUUAGCCAACUCUGCUUUUAAAAAUCCACUCAAUUCUGGCAAAAAAAAAAAAAGGAAAGAAAAGAAAAAAGAAAAAGAAAAACAAUUAAGCCAAUUGACUUUGGGAUAAAUGUCUAUUUAUUCAACUUGCUGUUUGAUAUACACCAUAACAAGGGUCAGCACAGUCCUAACCAUUACCACGAAAAUAGAUAAUUUUAAAUUCUCUUGUAACAUCCUAAAUGUCAUCAGUAAGCAUUUACUUAACUGAAUGAAAAUCAUUUAAACCAAGGACCAAGAAAAGAGACGAAGAAAAAAAAUGAAAAAAGAAAAAGGAACAUUCCACACUUUGCAAGUGGAUUUGUGAAGAAAAAUGAAAUAUUCAUAAUGUGUUACUGUAAAACAGUUUUCAUGGGAUUAUGUGCAAAAGGCUAUAUUCCAUAUGGUGUUUCCAGACUGCCAUCCCAGAGAGCUGCCAUAAGGUGAGAGCUGGCUUGACAGAGGCAGUGCCCAUCUGCAUUUGGAGGUGCUGCUGCUGCUGCUGCUGACAGGGCACAUCUCCCUGUCUGGGCAUGACUCAAAAGCGGACAGUCCUCCCUGAGCUCACGCAGCACCUGUCCUUUACUUACCAUUGAAGUUACUGAGUGUGACUCCACCUCUCAGCUAAGGCAAAUCCUUGCCUUCCCACGACCAAAAGAAAACCCAUUUGGGGUUGCUUCCUCCAUAUUUAAAUAACGGUCAAUUCCUUUAUCCAUACAGAACCUCUCAAUUCACACACUUUCUCUCUUCUUCUGUUUACUGAGAUCCAUUUUCUUGCUUUUGUUCCUAGUGAACCACGAGGUUGGAAUUUGAAGAAGUUAACCGUUACUUCUCUGCAGGUACUUUGCACUCAUUGAAGAAAUUGCAUAUCUGCAUAUUUGCCUACAUCAAUGGAGUUUAAAUGCCAAACAUAAAAAUGUGAUGGCUUAACACAGGAAGCCUGUGUUGAAUGCUUUAUAUUCAGAAAGGUUGUCAUUAAAUGAGGGAGACAGGCCUAGAGGGUGGCAAUAUGGAAUGGUAGGGAUUGUGGAAAACUGGAGCCCUUAUUUGUUACAUAAAAGAGAAAGCUUCUAUUAGGCACUUAUUUAAUUUGCAAAUUAUAGUAACUAAUAUAAAAAUUUUAAGAAAUUUUAUCAAGGUCAAGCUAAACAUAAGUAUACCCCCAGGUGUUCUGUGUUUGUGUCCCCAGAAGAAUGGCUAAGAUGUUAGUUACAUUGACAUUAAUUAAGCUCAAUAAGAGGCCAAGCCAGAGAACAGUGUGAAUUGUUCAAAUAUGGGAGACUGGUUUUCCCAGUCAUCCAAUAUGGGAAGAAUGUCCACCCAGCAGAAGUUCUAGGAACGGGAUUAAUAUAUCAUGUGAAGGGAAAGGGGAUUAUUUCUGAAUCUAAUACAGGAUUCUAAAAGUAGAUAGGGAUUUUUCCAGCCACAUCAUGGUACUUUCUUCCUCAGUACUGUACUUCACCCUCUCUGAAAGACUUUUUUUAAAGUUUCCAACGAAAGCAAAAACAAAGUGGGAUACUCAUGGGACUGCAGAAUGAAUGAGUAACACAUGCUAAAAAUAAAGAAUAAAUAUCAACAGAACAACUGUGUUUGGUAACACGAGAGUGGCUGUCAGAUCUGAUUCUCUGGCUCCUAUACUCACCGGAUAUGUGUUCUUAGGUAAUCCUUUUAACAUUUCUUGACCCAUUUAAGCCUUAAUAACAUAAGGUAGUUAAACUGUGUCAAUCUAUUCAUAAGGCUAGGUCAGUUUUGCAUUGACAGUGGACUCCAUUCUUCAAGUGAAUUUGUCUACCACAGAAACCACCGCAGAGAGCAAGUAGAAGUAGAGUUGCUUCCAGGGAAGAACAUAGGGCCUCUGAGAUUGUUCUUCCAAACAUGUUUUGAAACUGGUGGGCAAAAUUAUUUUUAAGUUUCUAUUAUUGAAAUUCAAAA